rnacentral:rRNA from 1 species
CUACGUGCCAGCAGCCGCGGUAAUACGGAAGGUCCGUGCGUUAUCCGGAUUUAUUGGGUUUAAAGGGAGCGUAGGCUGGAGAUUAAGUGUGUUGUGAAAUGUAGACGCUCAACGUCUGACUUGCAGCGCAUACUGGUUUCCUUGAGUACGCACAACGUUGGCGGAAUUCGUCGUGUAGCGGUGAAAUGCUUAGAUAUGACGAAGAACUCCGAUUGCGAAGGCAGCUGACGGGAGCGCAACUGACGCUGAAGCUCGAAGGUGCGGGUAUCGAACAGGAUUAGAUACCCUGGUAGUCCGCACAGUAAACGAUGGAUGCCCGCUGUUGGUACCUGGUAUCAGCGGCUAAGCGAAAGCAUUAAGCAUCCCACCUGGGGAGUACGCCGGCAACGGUGAAACUCAAAGGAAUUGACGGGGGCCCGCACAAGCGGAGGAACACGUGGUUUAAUUCGAUGAUACGCGAGGAACCUUACCCGGGCUUGAA